rnacentral:rRNA from 1 species
GUUAAAAAGCUCGUAGUUGGAUUUCUGGUGUGUGAGUAUUGCGUCCUUGAAUGUGUACCGAUGUUCGCCGCCAUCUUGGGGACUACUUUGUAAGGACGUUAAUUCGUUUUUAUGAGUGCCCCUCCUUAACUGUGAAAAAAUUAGAGUGUUCAAAGCAGACAAAAUGUCGUGAAUACAUUAGCAUGGAAUUAUACCAAAAGGUAGGAAUUUGUGAGUCUCACCACUCCUGUUCCCACAAUGAUCAACAGGAUCAAACGAGGGUAGAAGUACUCAAUUGUCAGAGGUGAAAUUCUUGGAUUUUUUGACGACUCCCUAAAGCGAAAGCAUCUACCAAGCAUGUUUCCAUUAAUCAAGAACGAAAGUUAGGGGAUCGAGGAGGAUUAGAUACCCUCGUAGUCUUAACCAUAAACUAUGCCGACUAGGGGUGAGUGGAGUGCCAAACAAUUGUAAUGAUUGGAAGGCCUUUAUUCGAACCUUUCGAGAAAUCAAAGUCUUUGGGUUCCGGGGGGAGUAUGGUCGCAAGGCUGAAACUUAAAGGAAUUGACGGAAGGGCACCACCAGGAGUGGAGCCUGCGGCUUAAUUUGACUCAACACGGGGAAACUCACCAGGUCCGGACAUAGGUAGGAUUGACAGAUUGACAGCUCUUUCUUGAUUCUGUGGGUGGUGGUGCAUGGCCGUUCUUAGUUGGUGGAGUGAUUUGUCUGGUUGAUUCCGUUAACGAACGAGAUGUUUGGUGUGUGUUACAAAUGGUUAGAAUUUUUUCUAGUGGUUUGUUCCUCAUGCGACAAUGUGGGUUUACCACAUGGAAGUUAAACGCAAUAACAGGUCUGUGAUGCCCUUAGAUGUUCUGGGCCGCACGCGCGCUACACUGGUUGGGACAACGGGUAUACAACCUUGCUUGA